UAGGGCUGGAUUCAGCUAUGAUAUUGUAGUAGUUAGGACUAGGGCUGGAUUCAGCUAUGAUAUUGUAGUAGUUAGGACUAGGGCUGGAUUCAGCUAUGAUAUUGUAGUAGUUAGGACUAGGGCUGGAUUCAGCUAUAAUAUUGUAGUAGUUAGGACUAGGGCUGGAUUCAGCUAUAAUAUUGUAGUAGUUAGGACUAGGGCUGGAUUCAGCUAUAAUAUUGUAGUAGUUCGGACUAGGGCUGGAUUCAGCUAUGAUAUUGUAGUAGUUCGGACUAGGGCUGGAUUCAGCUAUAAUAUUGUAGUAGUUCGGACUAGGGCUGGAUUCAGCUAUGAUAUUGUAGUAGUUAGGACUAGGGCUGGAUUCAGCUAUAAUAUUGUAGUAUUUAGGACUAGGGCUGGAUUCAGCUAUGAUAUUGUAGUAGUUAGGACUAGGGCUGGAUUCAGCUAUGAUAUUGUAGUAGUUAGGACUAGGGCUGGAUUCAGCUAUGAUAUUGUAGUAGUUAGGACUAGGGCUGGAUUCAGCUAUGAUAUUGUAGUAGUUAGGACUAGGGCUGGAUUCAGCUAUGUAUAUUGUAGUAGUUAGGACUAGGGCUGGAUUCAGCUAUAAUAUUGUAGUAGUUAGGACUAGGGCUGGAUUCAGCUAUGAUAUUGUAGUAGUUAGGACUAGGGCUGGAUUCAGCUAUAAUAUUGUAGUAGUUAGGACUAGGGCUGGAUUCAGCUAUGAUAUUGUAGUAGUUAGGACUAGGGC